ACGGGCCCUCCCCCAUCCGGGCCUGCGGACCGGGGCUGGCACGCCGCCCGCCUCCCCGGCUCCCUUAAACCCGCGCGGCCAGUCGCCGCCGAGGUGCCCCUCCCCUGCAGGGACCUCGACGCCGCCAGCCCUUCCCUCCUUCCCAGCCGGUGCGCACAGCUCCGCGCGCGGCAGAUUGGGCACCCCGCGGCCGCGAUCGCCGUCGUCGCCGGUCCUCCUGCCGAGCCCCGCGCGGGGCAUGAGGAGCCCCGGGGCGCCGCCCGGAGACAACCAGGCUGCGCGCACACCUCGCCAGCGGCGGACGGGGACAUGAGCCGCGCGCGCGGGGUCCGGCGCCGGGCGGCCAGCCCCAGCAGGCGGCGGCCAGCGGAUCGGCGGUGCCCGGGAGAAUGAGGCGGGAGCCGGCGGCCGCCUCCUGGUUCUCCACCUCGUCUUCCUCCUUCUCCUCUUCGCCUUCCUCCGCCUUGGGCGCCCCGGGCCCCGGCCGGGCUGUGGCUCUGCUGCGUGCCCCGCGCGCCCCCCCGCCCGCCUCCGGAUGCGCUGCUCGGUUAGUCUGGUGAGGAAGAUAAAGACGUUUGCCACCAAGAUGGUAAUCACGAGUGGAAAUGAUGAAGACAGAGGAGGCCAGGAAAGAGAGAGUAAAGAAGAGAGUGUCUUGGCGAUGCUGGGGAUUAUUGGGACCAUUCUGAACCUGAUCGUCAUCAUAUUUGUAUACAUCUACACCACUCUGUGAAUGGCCCAGUGGGCCCUCAGGCCUCGGGAUGGCCAAAAGACAGGAGGAGUCCUGUGUGUUGGCAGAUCAGUGACCGGACACUGUGCCAGCAAGCAGCCUUGACCGACACAUACCGCCCAAUCAGAUGCACCUUCGAACUCGAUAAAGGGUCACCAAAAUCAACCAAUCCUGCUGCAAGGAGCAGACACUAAAGCACAAUGAAUCCACCAAAACUCAUUCACACAGCAAGGAACUCAACAUCGUUGGCAAGGGACCCGAAAGGACGCUUGGAAAACUGCCCUUUGACACCAUCAGGGAGUGGAUGGGUGCAGAGAUGGGUUAUCCCAGGUCACUGACAGAUGCCAAGUGUUCAAAAAGAGGAACGGGUGGACGCAGCUCACAGCAGACACAGCUCUCGGCCUGUCUCCCAGGACACGUGUUUCCUCCUAACUCGAUGAACUGUUUGGUACCAAAAAACCACAGGGACAAUCCUUGACAAGCAUCUCAUUCAUCAAAAGUGUCUAACUAUUUGAUACCGGGGAGAUAACUUAUUUUUUCUUUUUUUUCAUUGGCUUGAUGUGUGUAUCUGUUCAUAUCAAGGUUUAUAAAUAUAUAUUUUUAAUAAAUGUGCUCUAUUUUUUAGCA
rnacentral:lncRNA from 1 species